rnacentral:rRNA from 1 species
UACGGAGGGGGCUAGCGUUGUUCGGAAUUACUGGGCGUAAAGCGCACGUAGGCGGCUUUGUAAGUUAGAGGUGAAAGCCCGGGGCUCAACUCCGGAAUUGCCUUUAAGACUGCAUCGCUAGAAUUGUGGAGAGGUAAGUGGAAUUCCGAGUGUAGAGGUGAAAUUCGUAGAUAUUCGGAAGAACACCAGUGGCGAAGGCGACUUACUGGACACAUAUUGACGCUGAGGUGCGAAAGCGUGGGGGAGCAAACAGG